rnacentral:rRNA from 1 species
GUUACAGCCGCCGCGGUAAUACGUAGGGGGCUAGCGUUGUCCGGAAUCAUUGGGCGUAAAGCGCGCGUAGGCGGUCAGGUAAGUCCGGUGUGAAAGUCAAAGGCUCAACCUUUGAAUGCCGCUGGAAACUGCCUGACUUGAGUCCGGUAGGGGCGAGUGGAAUUCCUGGUGUAGCGGUGAAAUGCGCAGAUAUCAGGAGGAACACCAAUGGCGAAGGCAGCUCGCUGGAACGGUACUGACGCUGAGGCGCGAAAGCGUGGGAAGCAAACAGGAUUAGAAACCCGCGUAGUCC